GGAAGAUGAAUCAGUUGAUGGAUCUGAAAGAAAUCAAAUGGACGUUUCUCAAGAGACAUACAAGUGACUCUUGGCUUCAUUGAUCAGUAAUGGUCAGUUCCAAUGAUCAGUCACAAGAGUUCUGUAGAUAAAUCACUUCCUGAGAUCCAGUGUUCGACAUAGUUGAUGAAGCUGUUGGUGGUUCAACUUGUUUAAUAGCCUAUAAUCUGUAAGAAGGCAAUAUUUUGUCUGUGAGAGUUGAAACAUAUGACAAUAUUACAUUUGCAGCUGCGAAAAACAGCACUUGCACAUUCUUCUCUGUAUUACUCAUG
rnacentral:misc_RNA from 1 species